UACGUAGGGGGCAAGCGUUGUCCGGAUUUAUUGGGCGUAAAGAGCGUGUAGGCGGCCAUGCAGGUCCGCUGUGAAAACUCGAGGCUCAACCUCGAGACGUCGGUGGAAACCGCAUGGCUAGAGUCCGGAAGAGGAGAGUGGAAUUCCCGGUGUAGCGGUGAAAUGCGCAGAUAUCGGGAGGAACACCUAUGGCGAAGGCAGCUCGCUGGGACGUUACUGACGCUGAGACGCGAAAGCGUGGGGAGCAAACAGG
rnacentral:rRNA from 1 species